CUUAUUUACUAAAGAAAUUAACCUUUUCUCUAGGACUAUAGGUUGCAAAUACCCCAGUUUGGUUGUUUUCUCUUCGGAUUGUGUUUACAUUGUUUUUCUGUUGAAGAUGUACUUUAUUUUUGUGCACUCAAAUUUAUUAAUCUUUUAUUUUCACUUAUUUUAUUUUAUCUCCUGGACUUUUGUGUCAUAGUGAGAGAGACCUGCCCCUUAUUGAAAAUCGCUCAUAUUUUCAUUGCCCACUUCCACUGUCCCCAGUUAGACUCUGGUUUAUCUAGAAUUUAUUUGACUGAAAGGUGUGAGCUGUGGAUUCGGUUGAUUUCUCAGACGGCGUUGAGUUGUCUCAGCACCACAAGUGGACUAAUCUUUUCAAGACGGCCUGAAGUCACUUUUAUCUGCAGAUUCCGCUGGGAACCUCAGUGAGACGCUGAGCUUUCUAAGAUGCUAACUCAUCUGCUUCUGGACCAGCACUACCACCACCACCAGGAGGACUUUCAACCAGUAUUUGUGUGGCUCUUUUGAUUUUUACAUGUCUAAUAAAAAAAUAAGCCGGAAAUGUGGAUGUUAUUUCAGGACCAUUUCCCCAGGAUGCUUUGCACAUCUUUCCAUGUAAACCCUCCGAGUCCCUCUGUCUCAGGCCUGUGCCUGCACACCCUCCGAGUCCCUCUGUCUCAGGCCUGUGCCUGCACACCCUCCGAGUCCCUCUGUCUCAGGCCUGUGCCUGCACACCCUCCGAGUCCCUCUGUCUCAGGUCUGUGCCUGCACACCCUCUGAUCCCUGUGUCUCAGGUCUCUGCCUUCACACCCUCUGAGUCCCUCUGUCUCAGGCCUGUGCCUGCACACCCUCCGAGUCCCUCUGUCUCAGGCCUGUGCCUGCACGCCCUCCGAGUCCCUGUGUCUCAGGCCUGUGCCUGCACACCCUCCGAGUCCCUCUGUCUCAGGCCUGUGCCUGCACGCCCUCCGAGUCCCUCUGUCUCAGGCCUGUGCCUACACACCCUCCGAGUCCCUCUGUCUCAGGCCUGUGCCUGCACACCCUCUGAUCCCUCUGUCUUAGGUCUGUUCCACACACAGGGUGUGCUGCAUUUCGCGUUGUCAUUCAUCCUGACAGUCUCUUUUUUUCAUAGGUGAGCUGAGCUGACGUAUGGGCAUUUACUGAUACAAAGUCACAGUUGGUCUUAGUUUUGUUGUCUUAUUUCAUGUUACAGUUCUGGGUUGUAGUUAUUUCUCCUUAAAGAAACUGCUGUGUCUUCCCUCGUGUGCUGUGUGUGUUUCUUAAUUUGGAAGCGAGAUAUUUUGUUUCAGGUGAUAUUUUUGGUGACAGUUUUCCUUCCCUUCCAGAUCACAUUUUUCUUUUUCUUCUGCUGUGUGUUUUACUCAUUCCUUUCCCUUUAUUUCAUUUUUGUGGUCUUCCUGUCUCUCUGUAUGGAUCCUGUGCUCCUUUCUUUCUAUUUAUGACUAACCCUCAAGUCUGGGGAAUCCUCUCCGGACAGCUAUGGGAGGAGGGUCACGUGGGGCCCAGGGCCCUGCCCCCUCACCCAUCUCCCAGGAGACUGCGGGUGGGAAUGAGACCGGGGGUGGGUGUGAGCUGGGGUGGAUAUGAGGCAGGGUGGGUGUGAGGCGAGGUCUGUCUGAGGCAGGGUGCGCUUGAGGCUGGGGGCAUGAGGCCGGGGCAUACGUGAAGCAGGAGCAGGUGUGAGGCGGGGUCGGUGUGUAUUGGGGAUCAGCGUGAGGCAGGGGCUUGCGGGGGGCGUGAGGUGGGGUGCGUGUGAGGUGGGGGGAGGCGUGAGGCGGGGUCAGUGUGUACUGGGGGUGUGCGUGAGGCAUGGGUCGUGUGUAUUGGGGGUCGGUGUGAGGCUGGAGGAAGCGUGAGGUGGGGUCCGUGUGUAUUGGGGGUGCGCACGAGGCGGGGACGUGAGGCGGGGUCGGUGUGAUCCUGGAGGAGGCGUGAAGCGGGGUCCGUGUGUACUGGGGGUGCGCGUGAGGUGGGGGUGUGUGCGAGGCAGGGAGCAUGAGGAGAGGUCAGUGUGUAUUGGGGGUCGUUGUGAGGCUGGGGGAGGCGUGAGGCGGGGUCAGUGUGUAUUGGGGGUGCGUGUGAGGUGGGGCACGCGUGUGUCUCCCCCUCUGCCCUGCCAGUGGCCUGUCUGGGCUCAAGCUGUUUCCCUCCUGCCUCUCAGCCCCAGUGCCCACACCCGUGGGUGCGCUUUCCCGGGGCACGUGGCGCUUACCCAGAGGCUUUGACUCCAGCGUCCUGGGGUCUCUGAGUGAGUGUGGGCUCGCCUGUGCUCUGCGGGUGCAGCGCGUUCCCACUGGCGGCAGUCCUGGUGCUCCGUCUCCCUGUGCCCUUCAUCUCUAGGUAGGAGGAUGCUCUGCAGCCUGAGUAAAACCGCGGCCUCACUAAGGUGCAUAUCACCACACUGGAAAUAGGAAGGGAAGGACAGUCUCUUGCUGACCGAAGGCCGUCCCCACCUGCAUGUUUCAGCCCAAUGGCUCCACCCGAUUGGGAAGAAUUGUGCUGACUCCUUGUGCAAUUCACUGACGUCUUUUAAAAUUAGGUAUCACCGCAAAUUAUUAUUCCAUGCUCAUGGGCAAACGUCACAUGUAUUAGCGUGUUGUUAACGUGAAUGUUUAAGAUGCCAGCUGUGCACCAUUGGGCACUGUGGUUUUUUUGUAGUUUCCAUGUGUUCCAGGACAUUCUCUUUAAACAAAAUUAAGCACAACACAAGAGGAGCUGCUGGGGUCGAGUGUGGGGGCACUCGUCCACCCUCUGGGCCUCACACCUUCUGGUCCCACCCACCACCCUCUGGGCACAACCCGGUGGAGAAAACAUGCCAGGUGUGAACCACGAGCUCGUUCCAAAAGGGUGUCUGUAAGUAGAUCUCUCUCUGACAGAUGACGACAGAAUCCAUGGAGGGGGAAGUAGCUCCAAUAAGUCCCCGGGUUUAGUGGCGCCUGACGCUGAUGUGACUGUGCGGUGGGUGGGUGGGGCACUGAUGGAAAAGAAAAGAAAU
ensembl:lncRNA